rnacentral:tRNA from 1 species
UUCCUGGUGGUCCAGUGGUUAAGACUCCACACUUCCAAUGCAGAUGGUAUGGGUUCAACCCCUGGUCAGGAAA